AUUGAACGCUGGCGGCAUGCUUUACACAUGCAAGUCGAACGGCAGCGCGGGCUUCGGCCUGGCGGCGAGUGGCGAACGGGUUAGUAAUGCAUCGGAACGUGCCCAGUAGUGUGGGAUAGCCCGGCGAAAGCCGGAUUAAUACCGCAUACGACCUGAGGGUGAAAGCGGGGGACCGAAAGGCCUCGCGCCAUUGGAGCGGCCGAUGUCGGCUUAGCUAGUUGGUGGGGUAAAGGCUUACCAAGGCGACGAUCCGUAGCUGGUCUGAGAGGACGACCAGCCACACUAGGAGUGAGACACGGCCCAGACUCCUGCGGGAGGCAGCAGUGGGGAAUUUUGGACAAUGGGGGCAACCCUGGUCCAGCCAUGCCGCGUGCGGGGAGAAGGCCUUCGGGUUGUAAACCGCUUUUGUUCGGGAAGAAAUCCUCUGGGCUAAUACCCCGGGGGGAUGACGGUACCGGAAGAAUAAGCACCGGCUAACUACGUG
rnacentral:rRNA from 1 species